AACGAACGCUGGCGGCGUGGAUAAGACAUGCAAGUCGAACGCUGAUUUCAGGGUAGCAAUAUUCUGAAGUCGGAGUGGCGCAAGGGUGCGUAACACGUGGGCAAUCUACCGUGAAGUUGGGGAUAACUUGCUGAAAGGCAAGCUAAUACCGAAUGUGAAAAUUAUGAGGCAUCUCUAGAUUUUCAAAGUUGGGGACCGCAAGGCCUGACGCUUCACGAUGAGCCUGCGGCCUAUCAGCUAGUUGGUGAGGUAACGGCUCACCAAGGCUAAGACGGGUAGCUGGUCUGAGAGGACGACCAGCCUCACUGGAACUGAGACACGGUCCAGACACCUACGGGUGGCAGCAGUCGAGAAUUUUCACAAUGGCGAAAGCCUGAUGGAGCGACGCCGCGUGGGGAUGAAGGGCUUCGGCCCGUAAACCCCUGUCAUUUGCGAACAACCUCUCCGCUUAACAUGCGGAGAGCUGAUUGUAGCGAAAGA
rnacentral:rRNA from 1 species